rnacentral:lncRNA from 1 species
CAGUAGUGCUAUCAAAAGAGGAACAGCCUUACCGGUUGUCACUUCAAAAGAACAAAGAUCCAGAAGUGCUACUUCGUCUUGAACAGCCUUCCCGGUUGUCUCUCCAAAGGCAAAAAGGUGCAGAAGUUCUACCCAGCCAGGAACAGCCUUCCCAGUUGUCUCUCCAAAGGCACAAAGGUCCAGAGGUGCUACGCAGUCAGUUACAACCUUCCCAGUUGUCUCUCCAAAGGCACAAAGGUCCAGUGGCGCUACCUAGCCAGGAACAACCUUCUCUGUUUUCUCUUCAAAGGAACAAAGGUCCUGGAUU